rnacentral:rRNA from 1 species
UACGUAGGGUGCAAGCGUUGUCCGGAAUUAUUGGGCGUAAAGAGCUCGUAGGCGGUUUGUCGCGUCGGGUGUGAAAAUCCAAGGCUCAACCUUGGACCUGCAUUCGAUACGGGCAGACUAGAGUUCGGUAGGGGAGACUGGAAUUCCUGGUGUAGCGGUGAAAUGCGCAGAUAUCAGGAGGAACACCGGUGGCGAAGGCGGGUCUCUGGGCCGAUACUGACGCUGAGGAGCGAAAGCGUGGGGAGCGAACAGG